rnacentral:antisense_RNA from 1 species
CGUUAUGGCGGCUGUGCGUGGGCAGACUUCGGUCUGGCCGGGUCCUACUAACCGGUAUUUCCACCCUGCGUACAGCGGCCACCUAU